UGGGGAAUAUUGGACAAUGGGGACAACCCUGAUCCAGCCAUGCCGCGUGUGUGAAGAAGGCUUUCGGGUUGUAAAGCACUUUCAGUGAGGAGGAAAACCUUACGACUAAUACUCGUGAGGCUUGACGUUACUCACAGAAGAAGCACCGGCUAACUCCGUG
rnacentral:rRNA from 1 species